UGUCCAGUUGCGGGAAUCGAACCCACAACCUUCUGCUUACCGGGCAGGUGCCAUGUCCACUAGGCUACCCUGGAC